rnacentral:sRNA from 10 species
UUUACAAAGGGUCUGUAAUCUGGCAAAAUAUCUAAUCGCGUAGGUCUGUAAUAUCAGACCCAUUCUUAAAAAAGGAUGUCCAAGCGUG